AUAGUAUCAUAAAUUUUACUGAUACGAAAAUAUAGCAUUCAGAAUGGUGAAUAAAAUCUAACAAUAUCCUAUCUUAAGCUCCAUUAUGGAGAUGUUCAGUCAACGUCCCCUUCCAAUUUUAGUAUAUUUUUAGAAAUAUUGCAUGGAAAGUACCUUGUCAGAAAAAAAUAAACUUUUACCUUGACACAAUAUGGAUAAUAAUCCCAUAAUGAAAAUGAGCAAAGGCUGUUGGAAAUUUGACGAAGAUGAUCGAGCAUUAUAUAUAGACAUUGAAGAAAAUACUGAAGAAGAGAAAGAAAAUAAAAUAUAUAGUUGUUGGGAUCAAACACCUGAUAUACUUUUAGAAGAAAUUUUUUCUUAUUUAACUAUUCGUGAAAGAUAUUAUGCAUCUUUGGUAUGUAGGUCAUGGUAUCGUGCUUUUAAAUUACCAAAAGUAUGGUCUACAUUUACAUUAGAAGACACCACUCUUACUAGAGGCAAAUUUAAUUAUCAUAGUGGUUGGCAAUAUGUUCUGGAUCAUAUGAGAACUUCCACAUGUUUAAAUAAAGUUGGAAGAAAUUUUAGAUCUCUUAUUUUUGAACCAAUGUUGAAUUUUUAUAAUCUUUAUGAAUUUAUGAAUAUGAUAUCAUGGUAUACUGAAAGACAAGGAUCAGAUAAUACAUCAGUAGCAGGAGUUGGUACUUAUAUUCGACGACUUAAAUUUACAUUUCCUUGUAACAUGGCAAACAGAGAUGAUCCUGAUAGCAUUAGAAUUUUUGGUACUGGAGGAAAAUUAUUAGAAGCAUUGAAAAGGUUGAUGCGUAAUUUACAUAAUUUGAAAUGCUUAGAGUUAAUAGAUCUCAUGUUAGAUAGUAAAGAAGCUUUACAUUUAAUGGAUGAUAUCUGUGCAAAUUGUACUCAGACAUUAUCAAAAUUGAUUUUAAUUAAUACUACAAGGUAUCAUUGCCCUCUUUUACAUGUAGGAGUAUUUAUUAAUUUAAAUGUAUUAGUUAUUAGUCCUCAAAAUCUUCACGAAGAUGUAAUAGAUUUAAUUGGAUAUACUAAAUUGCAACAUCUUCAUAUUGUUCAAAAUUGUUAUAGUCCAAAAGAUGCUACAGUGAGAUUGCCUUCAAGAAAAUCUUGGAUAAAGAUGAAAAGAAAUAAUCCUCACAUUAAAGUUCACUUUGAAGUGGAAAGUCAUAAGUCUACAGAUAUACUUUUGCCCAUUGAUUUAUUAGAACAUGGGAAUAUUCCAUGUCACAGUAUUGUUUUAGAUAUUCCAAAUACACAGAUUUCAUCUUCAACUAUUCUUAAUCAUGGAACAUUUUUUGAAUCAACAAUAAAGGUAUAUGCGUUUAAAGGUCUAAGCAGAUAUUUUGUGCCCAGAAAUUUUUCUCAAAGAUUGGAUGAAGCACUAGUACAAUUUUGCAAAAUGUGUCCAAACCUUCAUACACUGGUAUCACUUUGUGUUUGACUGAAUUUCUGAUGUGUAUUGUCACUUUUUUAAAAUCACUAUGAUUUUAACAAAAACUCUUAAUGAUGUGUGAUAGCAUGCAUUCAAAUUUUUGUUAUACAAAAUUAUUUAUUACUAUUCGUCUUCUAUGGAUCUAUUUAUAUACAUAUGUUGUGUAGCAAUAUAUCACUGAUUUGUCAAUAGUACAUAAGACAAGAGAUUUAAAUUCAGAUCAAUGAUUGUAUCAAUGACUUGGAAGCCAAUCAGUGGGAGACAAAUAUUUUACCAUGACACAUUUAAUCCCAUAAUGAAAAUGAGCCUGGUCUUUGAACGAAUGAUACUUUAUAUAAUAUAAUAUAAUAUAAUUAUAUUAUAAUCCACGGAUUGGUUUCCUUGGUAUUUUUUAUCCUUUCAUACAACUAAUACAUUUAUCAAAUAACUUCCUUUCAAAUAACUAAUUCAUAAGCAAAGUUUAGUAAUUUGAAUUCAUAAUUUAUCAGACUUGUAUAUGCGAUAAAUGUUUCCGCAGAUGAUUCGAGAUAAAAUUUCAACGGCCACCAUUUUAGAAAUUGUAUCUACAGCAAAGAAUUUACGUUGUUUAUAUGUCCGAAGAUAUUCAAUUUUAAAAAAAUGUGAUGGGGAUUGGUUAAAAAUUAUGAACUGGUCACCGGAACAUUAUCAAUGGAUUCAAAAAAAUAGCCGUAGUUAUGAAAAUACAGAAAAAGAGGUAUCUAGAAUAUUGAACUAUAGAUGGCACAUGUUAACUGAAAGAGAAUUUGCUGAUCAAAUGGUGAAAUUACAUUUAUAAUGUGUUUAUAAAAAAAAGGGAAAAAGUUCUUAAAAAAAGUGUUUUAUAACAGAUUGUGAUUAUAUAAUUAUAUCUCUAUAAAUAAUAUCUUGUAAAGUAUAUCGUUUAUGUAGUUUAUAUUACAUAUAUUACAUACAAUUUAUAUAAUGUAUUUACACUUUUUGACAUAACUGUGAUGAUGUAAAUACAUAAAAAAUUAUUGCUUACUUGAAAUUGAUUAAGGUGGAUUGUUAAAUACAGAAUUGUACAAUCAUAAAAAUUAAUAAUAUAAUAAAAUAAUUGAAAUUGUAA
rnacentral:misc_RNA from 1 species